UUGAAUCUCUUUUGCUUUAUUAAGUUUGCCUUCUUGAUCUUACAUGAGUUGAGACAAGUAUGCUUAAGUCUUCCACUGUAAUUGAAUUUCUGUCAAUUUCUACUCACACUUCUAAGAGUUUAUGCUCAAUGUAUUUCAGAGCUAUGUUCUCUGGUCCAUUAAAGUUCAUGGACUGGACUAUGAUUUCACUAUUGAUCAUAACUUUUAUCAAUAUCAAAUGCCCUAUUUAAUGCACUUGGCCUUGAAUUUUAUACUGUUCAUUUUCCAUAUUGCCAUUCUCUUUCUUUUGGUUCCCAUUUUCCUCAUCUAUUUAUGCUUUAGGUUCAACAGAGCUAGAGAAGAUGGCAUAAUGUCUCUAGGAAUGGGUGGAACAGAGUUUUUUUGUCACCUGUUUUGUUCCUGUCUCUUCUCUUUGACAAUACAAACAUGGAAUAGCAGCACACAAUGGCGAGAAAGUCACCUGUAACUCACCUGGCUGCUCUGAUCUUGUUCUCCUGGCUAAACAAAACUCAUGGUCCCAGACACUUGCAGAGAAGACCCUGAGAAAUUGCAGAGUGGGGAGUGUUCCUGAAGACAGGUGAGGUUGUGUGCCCUUCCACUUCUCAGAAGGGGAAGAAUGCGGAUUCUGAAACGAUAGACCAGCACACUUUCUACAUGGAAGAUAUCAAAUGGAUUACUAUAUAGAAAAGGAAGUGGAUGUUAUUGGACAAUGGGUUUGCUCAGGACAUUUCUUGCCAGAGAAUACAAUUUCUCUCUUUGACAGCUCUACAGCACUUAAGCAAGUUUUUCUUAAACUUUUAUUUUAAAAUUCAAGAAAAAUGUAAAAUGGAAAGAAUAGCAUAAUGAACCCAACCUAUCCAUCUCCCAGCUUUGACAACUUUCAACUCAGUUUUUUUUUUUUUUUAACAUUUUGUUUCACUUCCAACCACCCCCACUCCCUAUUAUUGUGAAGCAAAUCCUGGACAUUCAAUAACUAUUUCAGUGUGCCUCAGAAAACCGUAACCACAAUACCAUUAUCACACCUGUAUUAGCUGUCUGUUGCUCCAUAACAAUCACUACAAAAUUUAGCAGCUUAGAUUAAUGGUGAGACAUAGAGAUUUGAUCAGCUUCAGGUUAGGUUUCUUUUUCCUUUCUUUUAUUUUUGGCAAAGUCCUGUACCAUUUAGGGGUCCAGUAGGGAAAGCAGAAACCACAACACGCUGGGCCUUUCAGCAGAGGAGAUAACUACAGGAUGCAGUCACCAUCCCUAAGGAGCAAGAUAAGGGAAUGAAGUUGGGAGGACAGAAUUCAGAACUGAGGAGCAUGGCCACCACCCAGCUGCUGCUGCUGGGUCCUCCAAAAGAGCACGAUGAAGGGUCAGAAUCCAGCAAGGAGUUAGCUCCUGUUGAGACUAGAGAAGACCCAACCUCACAGCUUCACAGGGAGGACCUCUGGCUUUAGAAGGGUGUUGAUUUCAAGGGCAUGCCUUAAUAAACAUCCUGCACAAUAACUCUGCCUCAGCGUUUGCUUCCUGGGGAACUCAACCCAUGACUCUGAUAUCAUCCUUCCAUUCAUAAAUGCAUUCUUCUAUUCACAUGUCCUUCCAUCCAAUAAAUAAAU